CCUACGGGAGGCAGCAGUGAGGAAUAUUGGUCAAUGGACGAAAGUCUGAACCAGCCAUGCCGCGUGCAGGAUGACGGCUCUAUGAGUUGUAAACUGCUUUUGUACGAGGGUAAAUCUCGAUACGUGUAUCGUUUUGAACGUACCGUACGAAUAAGGAUCGGCUAACUCCGUGCCAUCAGCCGCGGUAAUACGGAGGAUUCAAGCGUUAUCCGGAUUUAUUGGGUUUAAAGGGUGCGUAGGCGGUUUGAUAAGUUAGAUGUGAAAUCCCGGGGCUCAACUCCGGCAUUGCCUCUGAUACUGGCGGGCUAGAGUUUAGUGGAGGUAGGCGGAAUGCAUGGUGUAGCGGUGAAAUGCAUAGAGAUCAUAAAGAACACCGAUUGCGAAGGCAGCUUACCGAACUACGACUGACGCUGAGGCACGAAAGCGUGGGGAGCAAACAGGAUUAGAUACCCGUGUAGUC
rnacentral:rRNA from 1 species